UGAGUGUUGGAAAGAAGCAAAGCCACAUUAACUGGCAAUUCCAAUUUCUCACUGAGUGAAAGAAACAGGCAACGACCACAUUUAUUCCAUUAGAGUUACAGAUAAAAAAAUUGGUUAUGAUAAAUCUUGACCCACCACCACCCAACUCAGUAUCCAAACAGAGGACUUGCAGGCGACCGAGAUAGAAGAAUUGUUAGCAUGUGAAGUUAAUAAAUGCGACAAUUAAUAUGGGCGCUGUUUGGUACAGAGUGGUCCUUUAUCCUCCUCUUGUUUUAUUUAUUUAUUCUGGUUUUUCAAAUCGCUGACUUGUGUUUUGUGGGGUUAAUGUGAUUCUGGGAUCAUGUGCGGUUGUCGUGUCUGCACAGUUGAUCUGCCAGGUUCUGGAAAGAAGAAAGAGAAGAAGACGAUGACAUUGAAGCAGCAUAGGCGGUCAUGCUGAUGCGCGUGCUCGUUUCUUGCUCACUCUUUCUGUCCUCUCUACAUUCACAAUCAUUUCCUCAAGUCAAUACAAUCAGCUAUAAAACAUUUCAUGUUUGUUUAUAUUUGAUUCAAAAUAUUUAAAACAUUUCAUGUUUGUUUAUAUCUGUCAUCUUAACAGAUAAACCAAAAUUUAUCGUCAGUCAUGGUAAAUUGCAUAUGAAUUUCAUUUGUUU
rnacentral:lncRNA from 1 species